CGGAGAAAGAUCCGGAACAAACAAUCGGCGCAGGACAGCCGGAGGAGGAAGAAGGAAUACCUGGACGGGCUGGAGAGCAGAGCGGCCGCGUGCUCUGCACUGAACCAGGAGCUGCGGAAAAAGGUGCAGGAGCUGGAGAAGAGCAACGGCUCUCUCCUGCGGCAGCUCCAGGCGCUGAUCAAGGAAACGUCCUCCAA